UGCCUAAUACAUGCAAGUCGAGCGAACGGACGAGAAGCUUGCUUCUCUGAUGUUAGCGGCGGACGGGUGAGAUAACACGUGGAUAACCUACCUAUAAGACUGGGAUAACUUCGGGAAACCGGAGCUAAUACCGGAUAAUAUUUUGAACCGCAUGGUUCAAAAGUGAAAGACGGUCUUGCUGUCACUUAUAGAUGGAUCCGCGCUGCAUUAGCUAGUUGGUAAGGUAACGGCUUACCAAGGCAACGAUGCAUAGCCGACCUGAGAGGGUGAUCGGCCACACUGGAACUGAGACACGGUCCAGACUCCUACGGGAGGCAGCAGUAGGGAAUCUUCCGCAAUGGGCGAAAGCCUGACGGAGCAACGCCGCGUGAGUGAUGAAGGUCUUCGGAUCGUAAAACUCUGUUAUUAGGGAAGAACAUAUGUGUAAGUAACUGUGCACAUCUUGACGGUACCUAAUCAGAAAGCCACGGCUAACUACGUGCCAGCAGCCGCGGUAAUACGUAGGUGGCAAGCGUUAUCCGGAAUUAUUGGGCGUAAAGCGCGCGUAGGCGGUUUUUUAAGUCUGAUGUGAAAGCCCACGGCUCAACCGUGGAGGGUCAUUGGAAACUGGAAAACUUGAGUGCAGAAGAGGAAAGUGGAAUUCCAUGUGUAGCGGUGAAAUGCGCAGAGAUAUGGAGGAACACCAGUGGCG
rnacentral:rRNA from 1 species